UACGUAGGGACCAAGCGUUGUUCGGAUUUACUGGGCGUAAAGGGCGCGUAGGCGGCGUGGUAAGUCACUUGUGAAAUCUCUGAGCUUAACUCAGAACGGCCAAGUGAUACUGCUGUGCUAGAGUGCAGAAGGGGCAAUCGGAAUUCUUGGUGUAGCGGUGAAAUGCGUAGAUAUCAAGAGGAACCCCUGAGGUGAAGACGGGUUGCUGGGCCGACACUGACGCUGAGGCGCGAAAGCCAGGGGAGCAAACGGG
rnacentral:rRNA from 1 species